rnacentral:rRNA from 1 species
GACGAACCGUGCGAACGUUAUUCGGAAUCGCUGGGCUUAAAGCGCGUGUAGGCGGCUUGGCAAGUCAGUUGUGAAAGCCCGGGGCCCAACCCCGGAAUUGCAUCUGAAACUGCCUGGCUAGAGUCCCGGAGAGGAAGGCAGAAUUCCCGGUGUAGGGGUGAAAUCCGUAGAUAUCGGGAGGAAUACCAGCGGCGAAGGCGGCCUUCUGGACGGUGACUGACGCUGAGACGCGAAAGCGUGGGGAGCAAACAGG